CGUCCGCUGAUGAUCUUCUUUCAAUCAUCCUUAUCUACAUUGCCUGAUCCGCCCCGCUCGACACGGGACUGCGGUGCUGACAACAUAUUGAUCUGAGGACG
rnacentral:snoRNA from 1 species